rnacentral:rRNA from 1 species
CCUACGGGAGGCAGCAGUGGGGAAUAUUGGGCAAUGGGCGCAAGCCUGACCCAGCGACGCCGCGUGAAGGAAGAAGGCUCUCGGUUUGUAAACUUCUUUUAUCAGGGACGAAGCAAGUGACGGUACCUGAUGAAUAAGCCACGGCUAACUACGGGCCAGCAGCCGCGGUAAUACGUAGGUGGCAAGCGUUAUCCGGAUUUACUGGGUGUAAAGGGCGUGUAGGCGGGAAAGCAAGUCAGAUGUGAAAACCAUGGGCUCAACCUGUGGCCUGCAUUUGAAACUGUUUUGCUUGAGUACUGGAGAGGCAGACGGAAUUCCUAGUGUAGCGGUGAAAUGCGUAGAUAUUAGGAGGAACACCAGUGGCGAAGGCGGUCUGCUGGACAGCAACUGACGCUGAGGCGCGAAAGCGUGGGGAGCAAACAGGAUUAGAUACCCGAGUAGUC